GGGGUCCGCGCCGCCCUUCCAGUGCCUGCGCCGGUGCCCGGCCUGGGCAUGCGUGCUGCAGCCUCCCUCCCGGUGAAGCCCAGCACGGAUGCUUUUCUUAUCGCAAUAAAAUGAUCCUGAUUUUA